rnacentral:rRNA from 1 species
UACGUAGGGGGCGAGCGUUGUCCGGAUUUAUUGGGCGUAAAGAGCGUGUAGGCGGCCAGGUAGGUCCGUUGUGAAAAACUCGAGGCUCAACCUCGAGACGUCGGCGGAAAACCCUCUGGCUAGAGUCCGGAAGAGGAGAGUGGAAUUCCUGGUGUAGCGGUGAAAUGCGCAGAUAUCAGGAGGAAACACCAAUAGCGAAAGGGCAGCUCGCUGGGGACGGUACUGACGCUAAGGCGCGAAAAGCGUGGGGGGAGCGAAACAGG